GCUGCCUGUAUCUUUCGUAUUCAGAAUCCCUAUUAGCCAAUUACAGUGCUCGGCAGUGUGGCCAGGAAACAAGAAGGAGGAACUUGAACAAAAUCCUUAAAAUAGACCUUACCCCAAAGGCUUACGGAAUGUCCCCCAUGAUUGGGGAGAAUUCAUUCUGAUUUUGGUAACUAGCUCAGGUACAGCUUGCUUGAGAAUUAUUUUCCUCUAAGAGGUAAUGCCAGGAAAAAGUUAUAUGAAAGGAUCUGCUCUUUCUCAGGGUAAUUUAUGUAUUUCUUUAUAUUUCAGCCUGCCUUGUACUUCAUGCAGGUUGAACAGAAAUGUUUCCUGAGCAUGUAUUGUUACAGCCCUCUCAGAUAGUACAAAAGAAUGAAAGAAGACAUGACCUGCUUUCCAGGAUUUUUACAAAAAAGAUGGGAUGAACACAGUGCUCACUUCCACCUUCCACCCUUUCACCAUGAAGGACCCACACCAGAUGCUGGCGCCAUACUCUUGGACUUCCCAGUCUCCAGAACUAAAAUAAUAUGGCCCAGUUCCUGGCUUUCAAAGAACUAGAGAAAAUCUCAUCAUUGGUACCUCCAAGGCUCUUUGGUUGGUUCUGCAAUCGUACGAACCCUUACGUGGUAUCCUGAGACAUUCUCCUCUCUCCACACCCUGGUACAACAAUACCCACACACCUGAUGGCAGAGCUUUUAGGGACAGGUAAAUUGAGGCAAAAAGCAGACAAGUUCUAUGGGAUUCGCUGGCACUGAUUUCCCAGGAUGGCAAAGUGCUAAGAACUAAACCUUUAAAGCUAACAAACUGUACUGAUGUCUUUACUAAGUAUCCAAGACCAACAAGAAUUUCCCAUCUCACCCUACCACCACCCAGAAGAGGAGCACAGAGAUGGGGGAGAGAGUGGCUGCAUCUGGCAUCCAGCCAGAGGAGUCCGUGCAGGGAUUCUGGAUCCCUCUUCCUCCACCCCGCUGCCCUUCCCCCUCCACCCCAGCAUUUUGGAGAAGAAACUGUAAUGAUGCAGCUCCCUCAAGUGUCACAUGAACAUAGUGGAAACAGCCUCCGAGGUAAAUAUGCCAUGCAGACAGAAACAGGCUCAACAGCAAUGUAUGAGGUCCAAAGACCAGGACCAAAGGGAAAAGCAAUCAUCUCACCGGACACCUGCCCAGGACCAGAUGCAUCAUCUCCAACAUUAGCUACCUCCAUAGAACCUGGACUCAAGGUGUGAAAUAAAGAUUAAUGGGAAACUGCAGGAGUCAAAAGGAGGGGGCAGGAUUAUUGAGGAUUCAGGCCAUUUAGAAAUGAAAGUUUGGAUCACUCCCCAGACAAAGAACCCUGACCAUCUAAGGGCAAUGGAAAUAUAGAAUAAGCAGUAGAAGAAGGAUGCCAUAGACACCAACUAUAGCCUCUCAAUCAAUUACAAAAAUGAGAAUUCUGAUAGUUUUGUGUAUUUUCUUUUUGCAUGUGAUGUAUAUGAGUGUAUUUUUAUAUAUUAACAAUUUUCCUUUUUCUCUCCUUCUCAUUAUUGUAUGAAAGCUUUUGAAUGUAAACUCUACAAUUUAGCCUUUAGGUAACAGAAUAUUCAGUGGGACUUUGAUUUGAGGAGUAUUUAAGACAGUCAGCUGAGACUACGAUGACUGUUGGAAAUGUGUGUCUCCUCAUUUGGGGAAAGGGAUGAGAACUCUGCACUUCUCCGAAGAACAGAGUUGACUCUGUGUUAUACAGAGUUCAAAUAUAUAUAUAAUCAUGCAUAUGGAAGCUAAGAAGCCAAAGGAGUUGACUGAGACAGUUACCAAUAUAUUGCCUCUCAGCUCCAAAUCCACCCUUCUUUGCUCUGUUCCAUAAUACUAAUCUGGCUCCUUGGUCAGCCAGUGCAAUGUCAUGUGUUGUUGGUAGAGUGUAGGAAAAACAUUACAAGGUAUAGCAAAGGGGUCAGGUGCAGUGGCUCAUGCUUGUAAUCACAGCCCUCUGGGAAGCAGAGGCAGGAGGAUCACCUGAGGCCAGGAGUUUGAGACCAGCCUGGACAACAUGGUAAAAGCCCAUCUCU